UCUGCAGAUGGAAGAUGAUCCACUCGAAGGCUCAUCAACCACUCAGUGGCAUCAAGUGCCUGGGAACAUUGAUGCCUCCAGUGUUGCAAAACCAAGAAGAUCAAACGAAAGCUCCCUUUCAGCAAAUGGUUCUGCUGGACUUCACGCUCCGGGUGCAGAGACUGUGAUGCAUACCACCUCAACAUCCAGUCUCUGGAAAAAGAUCUAUAUCGAAUAGGAGAAGAAACAAUAUAUGAAGAGUUGAAAUUAAUUGAGGAGCUCAGGAAAUAUAAAGCCCUGAAUUACCGUCAGACAGAGCAGCUGGCACAGUUAAAGUAUGAAUUACGAAAAGUGAGAGAUGCCUCCUGCUCAGUGGAUCAGCAUUUUGAGGUCCACCUCCCUCCUGAUGACCCUGACAACUGGGAGCGUCAGAACCUCCGAGAGGAGCUGGCUAAGGGGCCCAGGCUGGCUGAGCAAU